AUUGAACGCUGGCGGCAGGCCUAACACAUGCAAGUCGAGCGGAUGAAGGGAGCUUGCUCCUGGAUUCAGCGGCGGACGGGUGAGUAAUGCCUAGGAAUCUGCCUGGUAGUGGGGGAUAACGUCCGGAAGCGGGCGCUAAUACCGCAUACGUCCUGAGGGUGAAAGUGGGGGAUCUUCGGACCUCACGCUAUCAGAUGAGCCUAGGUCGGAUUAGCUAGUUGGUGGGGUAAAGGCCUACCAAGGCGACGAUCCGUAACUGGUCUGAGUGGAUGAUCAGUCACACUGGAAGUGAGACACGGUCCAGGGUCCUGAGGGAGGCAGCAGUGGGGAAUAUUGGACAGUGGGCGAAAGCCUGAUCCAGUCAUGCCGCGUGUGUGGAGAAGGUCUUCGGAUUGUAAAGCACUUUAAGUUGGGAGGAAGGGCAGUAAGUUAAUACCUUGCUGUUUUGACGGUACCAACAGAAUAAGCACCGGCUAACUUCGUG
rnacentral:rRNA from 1 species